AGCAGCCGCGGUAAUUCCAGCUCCAAUAGCGUAUAUUAAAGUUGUUGCAGUUAAAAAGCUCGUAGUUGAAUUUCGGGAUCAAUAUGUUGGUCGUGCCUUGGUACGUACUGGCAUUAUUGGUUUCUACCUUCUGAAGAACCUCGAUGUCAUUAAUUUGGUGUCUUGGGGAAUCAGGACUGUUACUUUGAAAAAAUUAGAGUGUUUAAAGCAGGCUCACGCUUGAAUACAUUAGCAUGGAAUAAUGAAAUAGGACGUUUGAUUCUAUUUUGUUGGUUUCUAGGAUCGACGUAAUGAUUAAUAGGGAUAGUUGGGGGCAUUAGUAUUCAAUUGUCAGAGGUGAAAUUCUUGGAUUUAUUGAAGACUAACUACUGCGAAAGCAUUUGCCAAGGAUGUUUUCAUUAAUCAAGAACGAAAGUUAGGGGAUCGAAGACGAUCAGAUACCGUCGUAGUCUUAACCAUAAACUAUGCCGACUAGGGAUCGGAUGAUGUUAAUUUUUAAUGACU
rnacentral:rRNA from 1 species